UGAAGAUGAAUCUAAAGGAUCGCAAACAAAGAUGGUCUUGAAUUCAUCUUUCUCCAGCUUGAUUGGAUCCAAGACCAUCUUUGUUUGCGAUCCUUUAGAUUCAUCUUC
rnacentral:pre_miRNA from 1 species